GCCAAACCAACCUGACCUCCUGCUCUGCUCUCUCCAUCACCCGCUCGCUCGUCGAGAUCAAAGGUGGCCGCGGCGGCUGAGCGGACGCGUGCGGGAGGAGCAGUUCCGUCCAGCCAUGAGAUCUGCGCCCGCCCGCCUCCCUCUGCCAAUUCGGUGCCUCCCAGCAACAGAGAGCGAGAGAGAUUUAGUAACUGACCAUCAUGCCGAGGGAUGCAAGUAGCAACGGCACCAAGGUGCCCGUGACGGCGAGUGGGAUGAGAAAGGGGCUACAGAGGCAUCGGAGUUGGAGGCGUAGUGGCUGGGAAAAGAGCCAGCGGGAGACAGGGAGGCUCUCCGAAGGACACGACUGGCAGCGCGGUCGCGUGUGAGGCGGCCGGCUACAGGGGCAUGCAUGCGGCGCUCGAGCACUGGCGACGCCAUGGUCUUCCGGCGAGGCGGGAAGAGCACAUACAUGAAGGGCCCGGGGGGCAAGCUGCCCGGUGGAGAGGCGAGGCGCAAAGGAGGUGGUCGUCGCCGGCGGCGGGGCCUGAUGCGCGCGCUUGCCUGCAGCCAAUGCAGACAGACGUAGCGGCCGUCCAUGGCAGCGAGCGGCUCUGGGGGUGGUGACGGGGUUGGGUGGUUCAAGCGGUCGCUUCUGCAGCUACAUGGGAUUUCUUCAUGACCAUCAGCAGAGAACACAUAUGAACUUCUCCUGAGAUUGUGACUCAGCUACAUGGUAAUCUACUGGUAAAUUAUAAUUUUGGGGGAUUCUGCAUUGCGACUGAAUGAAAACUGACAGUGAAUGGAUAUGCGCUUAAAAGGCUGUAAAAACUGAGUGUCAGCAUCAAUGUAGACGUCCAGGAGUGAUUUAGUAGGAUGUCGAACCUAAACUACGGAAAACAAGCAUCCGAUGGAGAAGUGUUAUUCUGAAAAAUGGGUUCAUGACUUCAUAUGCUAAAUUGAAACCAUGCAUAUUCAAAUAGCAGGAUUAGAGGUUUUUGUAUUCAGAAUCUGGAGUUUGUCCCGCAUUGCAUCAUCAAGUAAAAGACUGUAGUUUGUACUCCUCAUGUCUGUUGCACUUGCAGUGUCAGAGUUGGUAGCCAUCCCCUGGACAGGCCGCCAUGUAUAGGGCGUGUUGGCGUGCUUGUGCAGACAAUACGCGGAUGUUAGCUGCGAGGUGGAGAAGGAAGACGCCAUGGAUGGAUUUUGGUAGCUCUGAUGAAAUCAGUUUUAACUUAGUAAGUCAUAUGCUGAUAUUCAUGUGACUGUGAUCUCAAAAAUAAAAGUUCAUAGGAAAGGAACAGAAACCUUCCCUAAACAUAGAGUUGUGUUGUACCUGUUCUGAGAAAGGUUUGUAUAGUAUGAAAAUAUGUUUCGAGAUGAAACAAAUUAUGAUUAUUAGUCAUGGCAGUUGUAGGAACAGCUAGAGUCAACUAGGUGUUGUAAUGCUGGACUAAGGACGGACCUUGCUCGGAGAAAUCAAAAAAUUUGCGGCCCUCCAUGGGAUAAUA